AUUGGUGACUUCAAUGAAAUAUUAUUUUCAUCCGAGAAGGAGGCAGGGGCGCUGCGUCAGCAGGCGAGACUUCAAGCCUUCCAAGAUGCACUGUGUGAUUGUGGCUUGGAAGACAUAAGAUACCAUGGUGACAAGUUUACAUGGUUCCGAGGUGGAUUGAGGGAACGCCUGGAUCGGGCUAUUUCAAACGCCGAGUGGGUGGAGAUGCACCCCUUGUGCGGAUUAUGCAAUCUAGACACGGGUAAAUCGGAUCAUAGGCCAAUAUGUCUAGACACUGAUUAUUUAGCCGGUGUGGCAGCUCGAAGAACGCAGAAAAAGCGUGUGUUCGAGGCCCGUUGGCUAGCUCAACAAACAAUAGAGGAAGUAAUCAAAACGGCGUGGCAAAAAGAGGUUACUCAGGGUUGUGCCUGUCGGCCAGCUCUAAGCUAG
rnacentral:rRNA from 1 species